CGUAGGGUGCAAGCGUUAAUCGGAAUUACUGGGCGUAAAGCGUGCGCAGGCGGUUUUGUAAGUCUGAUGUGAAAUCCCCGGGCUCAACCUGGGAAUUGCAUUGGAGACUGCAAGGCUAGAAUCUGGCAGAGGGGGGUAGAAUUCCACGUGUAGCAGUGAAAUGCGUAGAGAUGUGGAGGAACACCGAUGGCGAAGGCAGCCCCCUGGGUCAAGAUUGACGCUCAUGCACGAAAGCGUGGGGAGCAAACAGGAUUAGAUACCCUGGUAGUCCACGCCCUAAACGAUGUCUACUAGUUGUCGGGUUUUAAUUAACUUGGUAACGCAGCUAACGCGUGAAGUAGACCGCCUGGGGAGUACGGUCGCAAGAUUA
rnacentral:rRNA from 1 species